rnacentral:rRNA from 1 species
AUGUACAUUCCUACAACAUAGAGUUAAUUCACUGGAUCCCAUUAGAAAUCUGCUGUUAAGUGCACUCAGGAUAGAGUAGUACUUGGAUGGUGACCACCCAAAAAGUGUUAAUAUUUUACAUG